AGCUCCGUGCGGUGGCGGUAUCAUAGCCAAUGAGGUUAAUCUGAGGCACAAUUAUUGCUAAUUGAAAACUUUACUCUUUCACACAAUAGAAGAACUAAUGGGUCACAAAAUUACACUAGUGGGUAGUAAGUUUAAAGCUAACCAAAGGAAGUUCUUUUUCACACCCAGCAUCAUUAAAGUGU
rnacentral:snRNA from 12 species